GACGGAGGAUGCAAGCGUUAUCCGGAAUGAUUGGGCGUAAAGCGUCCGCAGGUGGCAGUUCAAGUCUGCUGUCAAAGACCGGGGCUUAACUUCGGAAAGGCAGUGGAAACUGAACAGCUAGAGUAUGGUAGGGGCAGAGGGAAUUCCUGGUGUAGCGGUGAAAUGCGUAGAGAUCAGGAAGAACACCGAUGGCGAAGGCAGGUCUCUGGGCCACUACUGACGCUGAGAAGCGAAAGCAUGGGGAGCGAACAGG
rnacentral:rRNA from 1 species